GAAAUGCGAUAAGUAAUGUGAAUUGCAGAAUUAAGUGAAUCAUCGAAUCUUUGUACGCACAUUGCGCCCGCCAGUACUCUGGCGGGCAUGCCUGCUCGAGCGUCAUUUCAACCAUCAAGCCCCGCGCUUGUGCUGGGGACCUGCGGCUGCACGCAGGCUCCGAAAACCAGUGGCGGGCUCGAUGUCCCUCCGAGCGUAGUAGUUUACAUCUCGCUCAGGGCGUGCCGUGGGUUCCGGCCGUAAAAACCCCUCCUUACCCCAAGGUUGACCUCGGAUCAGGUAGGAAUACCCGCUGAACUUAA
rnacentral:misc_RNA from 1 species